rnacentral:lncRNA from 1 species
CUCUAGAGACCAAAGACAUCUUCAGGAUCAAUGAACCUUAUAGCUGCUGAGGAAAGGCUCCCCAGUUGAGCUUACUGGGGUCACAGAGUAUGAAGGUUACAGAUAGAUCCUGCAUCCAAGGCACUAAUUAGCUCUCUAAUGAACUUGACCUGGACAAUGAGGUCCUGUCCUGACUCCUCGAAGGCUGACCAAGCCGGCCAGGAUUGCUGUUCUAAAUACACAGCUGGGCAGGGGAAUGCGCUCAGAGGGAUUCUGCUGCCUUGUACGUUUUUAAAAUAGUUUCAGAAUUAGGGAGAGAAGUCCUUUUUCCACUUCUAUCCAAGAAUCCUCAUUUUCAAGGGGUUCCACGCCAUUCUUGCCUAACACAGGCAGUGAUACAUACUACGUAACGGAUAUAUACGUAAUGGAUAUAAAUGCCCUGUCAAUGGUCGUUAUACUGUGUGUCGUUCAGGGAACAAUAUCAAGAAAUGAAAUUCAGUAUAUGUUGAGUCCGUGGGGGGCAGCACUCCCCCUACUCCGAAUGGUUUCGGUCUGUGGCUGGCUGAAACUUUGGAUUCAGAACCUGUGGAUCUGGAGGGUCAAUGGGGAUAAGGACAUGGGCCACUUUCAAAUGAGUAAGUAGUAAGGACGUCUGAGAUGCUUCGUGCUUUGCUAAAUGCAACUCCAAACUGUGCUCCGCAAUGCCCCCUUGCACUCUGAGAUGUUAGAACUUGGGGGACAGGGUGAUCCUAUUGUUCUUGGGGUCACAACUGGCUUGCGCAGAGCACACCAGCAGUCUCCUUGGUUUAUGGUAUUCUGUGAUUGGGAGAGCUGACAUUGGUUGUUAAUUUAUUGGAUUGGGCUCAACUGAGAGACACCAGUCUAGUUAGGGCUGUGAGUUAUUUCCUGGAAAUAAUGACUGGCAGGGAAGCCCUUCUUCCCCAGAGUGGGCAGAGCCUUCUGUCAGUGACCCAGACAAAAGAGGUCCAAGGGAGAAACAAGGCCACCCUUCCCCAUCUCCUUUGCUCUCUGGUGGUGAGUGCAUCACCUUCACUGACUGCUUCUUUGGCCUUCCAAUGGGGAUUGGAGCUUUCCUGGAAUCUUCCAGGAAGCUUCCACUCUCUGUUCUUGAUUGCAGGCACACCAUGACCGGUCUCCCCAGCCUUCUCUGUCAUUACUUCCUUUCCUUAUGAUGGACUGUAUCCUGAGCCACAAUAAACCCUUCCUUUCUAAGUGGCUUUUGUUAAAUAUUUGUCACAACAAUAGUGAUCACUAGUGCCACCUAAUAUUGAUUCCUGUCUUCCUAUUCUAACGCAUGGGUGCAGUGCACUCCUUGGUCCUCUUGUCAUUUUUUGGUGUCAACUGAUUAACUCAGGCCAAUGACCAUGCAUGGACCAUGUCAUCUGUGCGUGGCACACAUUCCAUUGUCAGUAUGAAACCCUCUAGAGCCUGACCAUGAUGCUGGCUGUUCAGCACCACCUAAGAUAACAUGGUUAGAACCCAGAACCCUGAGGGGAGACUCCUAGAUGGUGUGUGAAGGAUGUGUAUUGAGGACAAAGGGUCUCACUAAGUUGCCUUAUCAAGGGAGGCCUCAAACUUCUGGUCCCCCU